rnacentral:rRNA from 1 species
CCUACGGGGGGCAGCAGUGGGGAAUAUUGGACAAUGGGCGAAAGCCUGAUCCAGCCAUGCCGCGUGUGUGAAGAAGGCCUUCGGGUUGUAAAGCACUUUCAGUGGGGAAGAAAGCCUUGGGGCUAAUACCCUCGAGGAAGGACAUCACCCACAGAAGAAGCACCGGCUAACUCCGUGCCAGCAGCCGCGGUAAUACGGAGGGUGCGAGCGUUAAUCGGAAUUACUGGGCGUAAAGCGCGCGUAGGCGGUCUGAUAAGCCGGUUGUGAAAGCCCCGGGCUCAACCUGGGAACGGCAUCCGGAACUGUCAGGCUAGAGUGCAGGAGAGGAAGGUAGAAUUCCCGGUGUAGCGGUGAAAUGCGUAGAGAUCGGGAGGAAUACCAGUGGCGAAGGCGGCCUUCUGGACUGACACUGACGCUGAGGUGCGAAAGCGUGGGUAGCAAACAGGAUUAGAUACCUAGUAGUC